GAUGAACGCUGGCGGCGUGCCUAAUACAUGCAAGUCGAGCGAACAGACGAGGAGCUUGCUCCUCUGACGUUAGCGGCGGACGGGUGAGUAACACGUGGAUAACCUACCUAUAAGACUGGGAUAACUUCGGGAAACCGGAGCUAAUACCGGAUAAUAUAUUGAACCGCAUGGUUCAAUAGUGAAAGACGGUUUUGCUGUCACUUAUAGAUGGAUCCGCGCCGCAUUAGCUAGUUGGUAAGGUAACGGCUUACCAAGGCAACGAUGCGUAGCCGACCUGAGAGAGUGAUCGGCCACACUGGAGCUGAGACACGGUCCAUACUCCUGCGGGAGGCACCAGUAGGGAAUCUUCCGCAAUGGGCGAAAGCCUGACGGAGCAACGCCGCGUGAGUGAUGAAGGUCCUCGGAUCGUAAAACUCUGUUAUUAGGGAAGAACAAAUGUGUAAGUAACUAUGCACGUCUUGACGGUACCUAAUCAGAAAGCCACGGCUAACUACGUG
rnacentral:rRNA from 1 species